AGCUCUCCGAGUGGUGCGGAUGUUUAUUGGGCCUAAAGCAUCCGUAGCUGGCUAAGUUAGUCCCUUGUUAAAUCCACCGAAUUAAUCGUUGGAUUGCGGGGGAUACUGCUUGGCUAGGGGACGAGAGAGGCAGACGGUAUUUUUGGGGUAGGGGUGAAAUCCUAUAAUCCCAGGAAGACCACCAGUGGCGAAGGCUGUCUGCUAGAACGCGCCCGACGGUGAGGGAUGAAAGCUGGGGGAGCGAACC
rnacentral:rRNA from 1 species